rnacentral:rRNA from 1 species
CCUACGGGGGGCAGCAGUAAGGAAUAUUGCUCAAUGGCCGAAAGGCUGAAGCAGCAACGCCGCGUGAAGGAUGAAGGGAUUUUUCUUGUAAACUUCUGUAAAAAAGGAAAAAUAAUUCGAUUUAUCGAAGAUGAUUGUACUUUUGAAGUAAGCACCGGCUAACUACGUGCCAGCAGCCGCGGUAAUACGUAGGGUGCAAGCGUUGUCCGGAUUUACUGGGUGUAAAGGGUGCUCAGGCGGAUUUGUAAGUCAGAGGUGAAAUCUCACAGCUUAACUGUGAAACUGCCUUUGAUACUGCAAGUCUAGAGUUAUGGAGAGGGUGAUGGAAUAUCUGGUGUAGCAGUGAAAUGCGUAGAUAUCAGAUAGAACACCAAUGGCGAAGGCAGUCACCUGGCCAUUAACUGACGCUAAAGCACGAAAGCGUGGGUAGCGAACAGGAUUAGAUACCCUGGUAGUC